rnacentral:rRNA from 1 species
UACGUAGGGUCCGAGCGUUGUCCGGAGUUACUGGGCGUAAAGGGCGCGUAGGCGGCUUUGCGUGUCUCCCGUGAAAUCCCUCGGCUCAACCGAGGACGUGCGGAAGAAACUGCAAGGCUCGAGUCCGGAAGAGGGGGGCGGAAUUCCCAGUGUAGCGGUGAAAUGCGUAGAUAUUGGGAGGAACACCAGUGGCGAAGGCGGUCCCCUGGGCCGGAACUGACGCUGAGGCGCGAAAGCGUGGGUAGCAAACGGG